AGAAAUUGCAUGAAAACACCUUAAAAAGGGCUAGAUUGCUAAGUUGUAAAAUGAGUUGUAAAUGAGUGAAAUAGUUGAAAUUAUGAGUUGCUAUAGUUAUGAAAAUGGUUCAUCUAGACUCAAGGAGUAAAGAAAUGUGAUAAAAAUUAUUUUACGAGCCUAGGGGUAAUUUGGUAAUUUUGGCAAAAUAUAGGGGCAAAAUUGUAAAAAUUGCCCAAGUGUGUCAAUGGACUAAUUUGAUCAGUACAUUGUUUUAAUAAGUUGAAUGUGAUAUUUUAGAUGAUGAAAAUCGAGAUUUGGACCUAGAACGGAAAGAAAUCGAUUAAGGGA
rnacentral:lncRNA from 1 species